GGAGGCAGAGCGCAUGCUUGGCAUGCAUGAGGUUCUAGGAUCAAUCCCCAGUGCCUCCA
rnacentral:tRNA from 1 species